CCACCUCUUCCCAUUCCGAACAGAGAAGUUAAGCCUGUCAGCGCCGAUGAUACUGCAGUGAAAUGUGGGAAAGUAGGUCGUCGCCAAAU
rnacentral:rRNA from 1 species